CACGUAGGGUGCGAGCGUUGUCCGGAAUUAUUGGGCGUAAAGAGCUCGUAGGCGGUUUGUCGCGUCGUCCGUGAAAACUUGGGGCUCAACCCCAAGCUUGCGGGCGAUACGGGCAGACUUGAGUACUGCAGGGGAGACUGGAAUUCCUGGUGUAGCGGUGAAAUGCGCAGAUAUCAGGAGGAACACCGGUGGCGAAGGCGGGUCUCUGGGCAGUAACUGACGCUGAGGAGCGAAAGCGUGGGUAGCAAACAGG
rnacentral:rRNA from 1 species